rnacentral:rRNA from 1 species
UACGGAGGGAGCUAGCGUUGUUCGGAAUUACUGGGCGUAAAGCGCACGUAGGCGGCUCAGCAAGUCAGGGGUGAAAUCCCGGGGCGUCAACCCCGGAACUGCCCUUGAAACUGCUAGCUAGAAUCUUGGAGAGGCGAGUGGAAUUCCGAGUGUAGAGGUGAAAUUCGUAGAUAUUCGGAAGAACACCAGUGGCGAAGGCGACUCGCUGGACAAGUAUUGACGCUGAGACGCGAAAGCGUGGGGAGCAAACAGG